UCCAGGGUAGCCAAUAAGGGUGGACAUGGCACCUGCCCGGUAAGCAGAAGGUUGUGGGUUCGAUUCCCGCCCCUGAAC